rnacentral:lncRNA from 1 species
GGAUGGUGAACUGGAUGAGGCCUUCCGUGAAGUAUUUCUUCAGAGAAAGCAUUUUGCCCGCGGCGCCCACAUGCAGCGCUUCCCCCGGCGCUCCGGACCCCGCCGCGGGGCGGCCUCUCCCGGUCCCCUCCGUGCGCAGCCGGCGCGGGGCAGAUCCGAAGGUGCUGCGCUGCGGGUCGGGGCCUUUCCGGAGCCGCUCGCCGCCGCCGAUCGCUCCCAGCGCCGCCGCCG